UCAUCAACAGCAUCAUUUUACUGCACAAAAAAAAAUCAUUCCUUCUUUGAAGAAAAGCUUAGGCCUAAGGAAUUCUAGAAAAAAUUUCUUCUUUCAUUUUUCUGAAAAGCUAAAAGGUGAGCUGAAUUAGAAGAUUUUCUCUUGGUUUUUUCUUGUUUGAAAUCUCUGGUUUUGAAAGCUGGGCUUGGGUUUGAUUUGGUUUCUAUUUGGGGUGUUUGCUGUUGCUCCAUUAUCAUUUAAGGCUUUAGCUAGUUUUGAACCUAUUAUUUGUUGAGUUAUGAUGAUGUUUAUUCACGUUUCAGCUAGUUUCUGCACUAUUAGUUGUUGUUUUAUUGUUAUUGUGCAAGGUACUGAACUUUAUUCUCCUUCUGUAAUGUGUGUUCUUUAAGAAAUGUGAAAUCAAUUGCAUAAAUGAUGUUUGAGAAAAU
rnacentral:lncRNA from 1 species